AAUGAAGUUGCUUAUGACUUAGUGGCGGACGGGUGAGUAACACGUGAGCAACCUGCCUUUCAGAGGGGGAUAACGGCUGGAAACGGUCGCUAAUACCGCAUGAUGUGUUCGGAUGGCAUCAUCUGAACAUCAAAGAUUUAUCGCUGAAAGAUGGGCUCGCGUCUGAUUAGAUAGUUGGCGGGGUAACGGCCUACCAAGGCGACGAUCAGUAGCCGGCCUGAGAGGGUGAACGGUCACAUUGGAACUGAGACACGGCCCAAACUCC
rnacentral:rRNA from 1 species